ACCCCAAUGUCAAAAGUCCACACUGUUGGCAUCAUACCUCAACGUGAAAUGUCUUAACUGGGGCAUAUCCAAUUACCCAUUUGCAUUCUAACAUGCAUCAUAUAAAUCAUUCAUAAAUGGUUUUCCUACCAAAUAGAAAAUUAAAAAAAACACAGUCAUAUCAAUCAUCAAUAUACUCAUGCAUAACACUCCCACAAAAUGGGAAUUUCAACAAAAAAAUAAAAAUCAUUCGCAUUCCUACAUGCACAGCCAAAUAUCCCC
rnacentral:lncRNA from 1 species